UGGGGGAUAUUGCACAAUGGGGGAAACCCUGAUGCAGCGACGCCGCGUGUAGGAAGACGGUCCUCUGGAUUGUAAACUACUGUCUUCGGGGACGAUAAUGACGGUACCCGAGGAGGAAGCUCCGGCUAACUACGUGCCAGCAGCCGCGGUAAUACGUAGGGUGCAAGCGUUAAUCGGAAUUACUGGGCGUAAAGCGUGCGCAGGCGGUUAUGUAAGACAGAUGUGAAAUGCCCGGGCUCAACCUGGGAAUUGCAUUUGAAACGGUCAUGCUUGAAUCAUGGAGAGGGUAGCGGAAUUCCGAGUGUAGAGGUGAAAUUCGUAGAUAUUCGGAAGAACACCGGUGGCGAAGGCGGCUACCUGGCCAUGUAUUGACGCUCAGGUGCGAAAGCGUGGGGAGCAAACA
rnacentral:rRNA from 1 species